rnacentral:rRNA from 1 species
UGAGGAAUAUUGGUCAAUGGACGAGAGUCUGAACCAGCCAAGUAGCGUGAAGGAUGAAGGUUCUAUGGAUUGUAAACUUCUUUUAUACGGGAAUAAAGUGGUCCACGUGUGGGCUUUUGCAUGUACCGUAUGAAUAAGCAUCGGCUAACUCCGUGCCAGCAGCCGCGGUAAUACGGAGGAUGCGAGCGUUAUCCGGAUUUAUUGGGUUUAAAGGGAGCGCAGACGGGGGAUUAAGUCAGUUGUGAAAGUUUGCGGCUCAACCGUAAAAUUGCAGUUGAUACUGGUUCCCUUGAGUGCAGUUGAGGCAGGCGGAAUUCGUGGUGUAGCGGUGAAAUGCAUAGAUAUCACGAAGAACCCCGAUUGCGAAGGCAGCCUGCUAAGCUGUAACUGACGUUGAGGCUCGAAAGUGUGGGUAUCAAACAGGAUUAGAUACCCUGGUAGUCCACACGGUAAACGAUGAAUACUCGCUGUAGGCGAUAUACAGUCUGCGGCCAAGCGAAAGCAUUAAGUAUUCCACCUGGGGAGUACGCCGGCAACGGUGAAACUCAAAGGAAUUGACGGGGGCCCGCACAAGCGGAGGAACAUGUGGUUUAAUUCGAUGAUACGCGAGGAACCUUACCCGGGCUUAAAUUGCAGACGAAUUACUUGGAAACAGGUAAGCCGCAAGGCGUCUGUGAAGGUGCUGCAUGGUUGUCGUCAGCUCGUGCCGUGAGGUGUCGGCUUAAGUGCCAUAACGAGCGCAACCCUCGUGGCCAGUUACUAGCAGGUAACGCUGAGGACUCUGGCCAGAUUGCCAUCGCAAGAUGCGAGGAAGGUGGGGAUGACGUCAAAUCAGCACGGCCCUUACGUCCGGGGCUACACACGUGUUACAAUGGGAGGUACAGAAGGCAGCUACCCGGCGACGGGAUGCCAAUCUCCAAAGCCUCUCUCAGUUCGGACUGGAGUCUGCAACCCGACUCCACGAAGCUGGAUUCGCUAGUAAUCGCGCAUCAGCCACGGCGCGGUGAAUACGUUCCC